CACGAAGUUAGCCGGGGCUUCUUCUUCAGGUACCGUCAUUAUCUUCCCUGACGAAAGAGCUUUACAACCCUAAGGCCUUCAUCACUCACGCGGCAUGGCUGGAUCAGGCUUGCGCCCAUUGUCCAAUAUUCCCCACUGCUGCCUCCCGUAGGAGUCUGGGCCGCGUCUCAGUCCCAGUGUGGCUGAUCAUCCUCUCAGACCAGCUACUGAUCGUCGCCUUGGUGAGCCGUUACCUCACCAACUAGCUAAUCAGACGCGGGUUCAUCCAAUGGCGAUAAAUCUUUCCCCCGAAGGGCGUAUACGGUAUUAGCUCAAGUUUCCCUGAGUUGUUCCGUACCAUUGGGCAGAUCCCCACGCGUUACUCACCCGUCUGCCGCUGACCCCGAAGGGCCCGCUCGACUUGCAUGUGUUAAGCCUGCCGCCAGUGUUCGUUCUGAGCCAGGAUCAAACUC
rnacentral:rRNA from 1 species